rnacentral:tRNA from 1 species
ACACCGUUGGUGAAGUGGUUAUCAUGCUUGCCUUCCAUUAGUUAUGUAGCAAGCGGCUCGGGUUCGAUUCCCGAACGGUGUA